UAAAAAGUAAGCUAAAUUUUAAGCUUUUGGGUUCAUACCUCAACCAUAGAUUAAUUCUCUUUUUAA
rnacentral:tRNA from 1 species